rnacentral:rRNA from 1 species
GAUGAACGCUGGCGGCGUGCCUAAUACAUGCAAGUCGAGCGAACAGACGAGGAGCUUGCUCCUCUGACGUUAGCGGCGGACGGGUGAGUAAAACGUGGAUAACCUACCUAUAAGACUGGGAUAACUUCGGGAAACCGGAGCUAAUACCGGAUAAUAUAUUGAACCGCAUGGUUCAAUAGUGAAAGACGGUUUUGCUGUCACUUAUAGAUGGAUCCCCGCCGCAUUAGCUAGUUGGUAAGGUAACGGCUUACCAAGGCAACGAUGCGUAGCCGACCUGAGAGGGUGAUCGGCCAAACUGGAACUGAGACACGGUCCAGACUCCUACGGGAGGCAGCAGUAGGGAAUCUUCCGCAAUGGGCGAAAGCCUGACGGAGCAACGCCGCGUGAGUGAUGAAGGUCUUCGGAUCGUAAAACUCUGUUAUUAGGGAAGAACAAAUGUGUAAGUAACUAUGCACGUCUUGACGGUACCUAAUCAGAAAGCCACGGCUAACUACGUG